ACAUGUAAAUUAUAAAAUUAUUGUAUUUGAAAUAGUUAUAUAAAUAUUUAAGUAUAUGAUUAACAUUAAAAAUAUAUACCACUUAUGUUCUAAAACAAUAAUUUAUGUAUAGAAAAGUGAAAACAAAUACCCGUGCGGUUGCACGAGUAAAAAUCUAGUUUCAAAAUUAAGAAAAAAGUUUGCCGCCUACAAUAGUGUAAUAUGGUCGAAAACAUAUCUUCAGUACGAUAAUAUGUCAAUAACAUUACAAAUUUUAUGUUAAUGCAUACCACAUAUACAAAUAAAAAGCAUUAUGGUGAAAACUAUAUAAUUAGGUUUAAUUGAUUUUUACACUAGUUAAUGGGUCAGUCUGUAAUUUAUAAACUCAAAUUCAAUUCAAAUAAAAAACAAUUGUCUUUACCAAAAAAACUGACGCUAUUUCUAAGAUUCUUCGAGCAAAAUUGAUUUGGGGAUUUCUAACACAGAAAAAGAGACAAAGAGCAAAGAGAGAGAUAUUACCAAUCCAACCAACAUCAUUUCCUUUUCUUACAGUGGAUUUGUUAUAAAAAAAAUAGAUUUGGUCCAUUUGGAGAAAAAUCUAAAAUUAAAGUGUUAUUGGAGAAAUUCGUGUGUGAUACUGUGGUUUUGGAGCAUUCAGUUGCAGGAAGAGGGUUUAUCAUCAGGAGACCGUCGAGAUAUAUCGAGGAGUCUAGGAGAUGAGGAACAGAAAACGCUUUAUGCAAAGCUCGGAGACAUUCUUCUGACACAAACUGCAUGGGAUGUUUUAAGAAGUGAGUGUAAGUUUUUUCACCUCUGUUCUUAAGUGUAGGUUUGUCACUCUGUUCUCAGUUCCUGUCCUUAGUUUGUGGUUAGAUUAGACCAUCUAAAACCUUAAUUUUUGUCUGAUUAAUAUUAUCUAAAACCUUAAUUUCUCUAGUGCUAGUCAAGGUUGAAGAAGCUUCAGUUCAGCCUCAUGAAGAUACAGAAAACAGACACAAAAGCAGGACUUUCCCUGCAAGUGCCAUGUCUAGCAACUUGUGGGAGAUUUUGUUCAUCCAAUGAAUAACCAAAUGACAAAAGAAAACUAUAGCUGUUGAUUAAAAAUAAAGAACAGUAGCAAAUUUUUAUGAAAACCAGCUGACUUCGUUUCAGGCAUCAGACUCUUUUUUUUUGGUAAGAUUCAGGCAUCAGACUCUUUAUUGUGUUCUUCGCUUCUCCUCAUUGAAUAACCAAUUGUUUUUUUUUUAAAUUGGGUUUAAGUUUAGUAAAUUAUAGAUUGACCCUGUUAAUUAGUGUAAAAAUUAAUUAAACCUAAUUGUAUAGUUCUUACCAUAUUAUUUUUAACUUUGUACAUGUGGUAUGAAUUAACAUAAAAUUGGUGACAUGUUUUUUUUA